rnacentral:rRNA from 1 species
UCCAGACUCCUACCGGGAGGCAGCAGUGGGGGAUAUUGCACAAUGGGGGGAACCCUGAUGCAGCGACGCCGCGUGGGUGAAGAAGCGCCUCGGCGCGUAAAGCCCUGUCAGCAGGGAAGAAGAAAUGACGGUACCUGAGUAAGAAGCACCGGCUAAAUACGUGCCAGCAGCCGCGGUAAUACGUAUGGUGCAAGCGUUAUCCGGAUUUACUGGGUGUAAAGGGAGCGCAGGCGGCACGGCAAGCCUGAUGUGAAAGCCCGCGGCCCAACCGCGGGACUGCAUUGGGAACUACCGGGCUGGAGUGCCGGAGAGGUAGGCGGAAUUCCUAGUGUAGCGGUGAAAUGCGUAGAUAUUAGGAGGAACACCAGUGGCGAAGGCGGCCUACUGGACGGUGACUGACGCUGAGGCUCGAAAGCGUGGGGAGCAAACAGGAUUAGAUACCCCGGUA